AGAAGCUGCAGAGCUGCAGCUGGCUGGACAGAAGUGAUCCACACACAUAAAUCACACAUGCAUGUGUGUCACCAUAGAAAAACGGGUCACGCAAACACGGCUGGAAACCAGCAGGCUGGGGCCCAGGGCAAACACUUCAGCGCCACAGACAACGUGCAGAAAAGCCGGCAGUCGCUUCAGAGGCUACUGUUGAGUAUAAAAGUAAGUGAUGACCAGUGAAACAGACUGGAGCCCAGAAGGCAGCAUAAACAUUGGAAAGGACCCGGACCGACGUGGGGAGGCACACAGCAACCAGCUAAGUCCAAAUUUGGUCCUGGAAAACACACGUUUUUCUGAAUUAGCAACUUUUCCUUAAGAUGGCAGUCAUCCUUGUUACUACUUGGUGAUGAGAAGAAAAAUCAACGGAGGGCAUUUCAUGACCAUCGUAGAGGUGACACUUGGAUGAUUUUACAGCUUCUUCUCUUUUUAAUGCAGCUAUAAAUGUAAACACAGGUACUACAUCCAUUUGAGUCGGUCACACACACAGACCGGGCAGACUUAAAGGUCUGUAAACCCAAGAGGAAAAAGAAACAGGGAAUAUCUCCAAACAAUUAUGUCCAAAGAUGGCCCACGAAAUCAAAGAUGGCAUGGGAAAAAGGAGUACUGACCAUGCCCAACACAUUGUCUACACUGAAGAAACCCCACACCCCUGUUUAUGAAAAGGAAACGGUAACAGCCCCUACAGAGCCAACUGGGGUGAAGACUCAUCGUGGAGACACUGUGGUUUAGAUUAAGUAACAAUUGUUCAACAAUUGUUAGGAGAAUAACCCCCAAAGUGCUGCAAAGUAUAUUUGUUUAUACAAAACUCACGAUUCUCCGACUAGGGCUGGCAUUAUUUUGAAAGUAAAGCCUUACAGAAGAUUGUAUGUGAAGACCCAAGCAGGUAAGGGGAGCGCUUGAACUGUGUGCUGUUGCUCCUGGCAUCAUAAAGGGUUCGUAUAAGUCAGUUACCCCUUGUGCUGUGCUGCUCCAUUAUCCAGAGCUUUGCUAGCAGAAAGGAAACACCAAAAUGAACCAACUUUUAAUCUAAGUAAGGAAUGACUUGAUGAAUUACCAGGUUAUACUGAUAUAUACACACAGUGGUAAAAUAAAUUUUAAUAUGUGUGUUGUAGACCUCAACAAUUCACACCAAAGACUGAAACAAAGACAUUCAAAAACUUGAAAUCCACAACAAGAAAACUGUAGGAUUCUGUCAACAACACUGACUCGUUUUUGUUUGAGUGCACGGCUCUCUGACCACUGAAAGGAGGCGAUUUUUAAGUUCUAUUGAAUCUGAAAUUCCAGGAUUAGCCAAUGAGCUUAGUGCAGCACUGCCCAAUCACAGACCACCUUUUUAAUGAUGAGCGAUUGGCUGCUCCCAAGCAGACAUCGAAUUGAACCACUCUUUAUACCGAGAUUCACUGGUCUCCUCGGAUUUCUCGAGCCCCUGCUAGCCCCGUAACGAUUCCUAAACUUAACAACACCCACACUUCUCAGCCUCACAGCCAGCUUCUCAAAUGCAUCUUCGCUAUCUGCAGAAAAUCAGCUGAUGUCAUAGUGACUGUAUAACAUCGCUGCAUAGGCAGGGAAUUCGCCUUUCCCCCCAGAUCACCUAUAGCAGUUGCCUUGUUAACUAUGCCCUCUAACAUCAGGAUUAGUCACACAUUGUUUCGUAGAACCACGGGUCUAAAUUGAAUGGCACUGCUUCAGGGUAACUCAGAAGACACAUCCAUUGUGAGGUUUCAUUGACACGGAGUCAGUUGAUACACAUUUUCCACAUGCUGGAUUCUUCGGGGAAAAGAAGCAGAAACAACAUCAGCCUUUGUGCCACGACUCCCUGCCAACUGUGACUCUUGAACUGUCAUGUGUAUGCCGUUGGGGCUUUAACAAGAGACUCUCAGAUUUGCCAAACUCAGAACUUGACCUCAAUCAGGAACUGAUUUCACUG
ensembl:lncRNA